GCGCCGGGGCAAACCCGACCGGCAGCAAGGGCGAGGUGGUCGUGGCCAGCGGCACCUGGCUGACCUGCUGGGCAGCCUGCUGG
rnacentral:ribozyme from 11 species